GUAGCAUGAGGCUGCAAAAAGGAUGAAUAUUUCAAGUAUUUUCAGUUUUAAGUAGGUCCUAUUCUAGAAAGAAGAACAUCUCAUUCAACAAAUGGUAUAAGAUAGAACAAAAUGAUACUAAGAAAAUAGUCUUUGCAUAAUCUGGAGAGUAGUUCAUUUACUGGCUUACUGCUUCUUCAACAGCAAGGGUCCAACGUUAUCGCCG
rnacentral:misc_RNA from 1 species